GACUACCUCCCGCAUGAAAAAGAAACGCACCCACCUCCUCCGCUCUCCUCCUAGGGCGACACCGGGGCGCCCCCAACCCUAGCCGUCACAGACCUCCACCACAACCACGCCGCCGCCGCCGGUGGCCGCGAAGGCGGCUCCUCAAAGCAGGGACGCGUCUCCCGUCGAAAUCCAAGUCCGUUUGCGCGAGCUUCUCCGCCCCUCGAUCCGAUCUUCACCUUCGCUCAUGGUGGCCGUCAGCUGACCUCCCGCCGGCGGUCAGCUUGAUCUGCGCGGCACUCGGCUGCCCGCAUGGCCCACCUCCUCCCCAUCGCGGCACUCGUUGGCCAUCGUUGGGCCUGCUUGUGACGCACAGAUCGGGUCGCGCGCGACGGCUACAUCAUCGCCGGAUCUGUCCUUUCGUCCGACUGCGACCCCAACCCCAGCGCCCUCCUCCACCGCCCGCUUCCCCACUCCCGCUUGACUCCAUGGGGGGCGCCGGUGAUGACGCUCUGCCCGGAGUUCCGCGGAUCUGCGUCUGCCAGUCGCGUUUGGCCUCCGUCCACUGUGCUCUGCCGGCCCUGGCCCGCGCCGGGGUGGCCCUUGGCUCGUCACCAGGCUCAGCUAGCAUGUUUUCUAAAGGCUGAGGGGUAAUCGAGGAGCCGGUGCCGAGGUCCUAGAGGAGGCGCCGCCGCCUUCAUUGCGGACCUGCAGGUCGCCAUCUGGACAUCGCUGCCGAGAUUUUCAGAACACUGAGUGCAUAUCUUGCCUUGCAAUGCUGCUGAUUCGACAACCGAACUGGAUUCAAACUGGACUUGCGACCAGAGCAACCCCAAGCAAGAUGAACUCGAUUGGAAGAUGUCUUCUAAACUCUGAAGGCAAGCACUUGGCCGACACUUUUGUUCGUGUAGAAGGCAUGUCAUUUGAUUCAUGCCAAGAAGCGUACAAAUAGUAUAAGCUAUUCGCUUGGGAGAAUGAUUUCAGAAUUCAUCAUGGAAAGCCGAGAUGAGGGCAUGCACGUUACCUGUUGAUGCACAAAAAUGUGUGCUGGUGCUAGGUUAAGAGGGACAAAGGUAAUUCUUCUUCGUGCAAAACAGAAUGAAGGCGAGGAUGCAUCUCCUCCAUGCAAAGCAGGUUGGUAUGUGAGCAUAUUCAGGAACCAGCAAAAUCACCCUCUAUCUGCAAUUUGUGAAGAGAAGAGGCAGUGGAACUCACACAGUGAGAUCAAUCCAGUUCUUAUGAAAAAAUUUCAUCAAGAAUCUCGAAGUAAAUAAUUUCAGCCUCGGCAAGGUGUGCAAUAUUCUCACCGCAAUGCAUAGCGAUUAGUCAGGAGCAACAUUCCGUAAGCAAAACUUAAGGUACCUUUGCUCAACGCUUGCUUAGUAUUCAAUAACAAAUGACAUGGUCAAGACUGUCAAGCUUUUAUAAGACACGAAAACCGUCAAUCCAUAUCUGUCAAUAUGUGUUGUGCGCGUCCAGAAUAUUUUCAGGCAUAUGGGAAUGUUGUGCAGACAUUCUGUUGAUUUCAGACAAUUGAAAGCAGUGAUACAGUCCAAAUUUUGGCAAGAGAAAGGAGUUUAGGGAAGACGACAAAGGAGGAAUAUGAUGUUGCCCCAACCCCAAGUACCGGGUUUGUUAAUUACUCAACAAGUCACAGAUCGAUCUCUUUUUUAUUGGUUUGGAGUGGAUUAUCAGGCCUGCCACGCAAUCAUAGAUUUACCUUUUGAUUUAUGUGGGUGGACAGAGACACCCUUUCUGAAGUUUUCUAGGGAUUGUAAUGAAGCACAACUUGGUCAGUGAUACCAAUCCCUUCGAGCUCCCUCAACCCUUCGCCAACACUUCAGUUUCUCACCACAAGCGUACUAUUGUUCAGGAUAGUGUGUGUGACAUGUGGGAACGGGGAGGAAGAUGAAUAUCAUGCUGUUAUAUCAUGCACAAAAAGUAAGGCGUUGAGAUUUGCCAUGAGGAAAGAGUGGAGGCUUCCAGAAGAAAAGGAGUUCUGGUACACUGAAACAGACUGGCUACAAAUCCUACUGGACAAGUAUGAUUCAGAGAUAAGAAAGAAAAUUCUGCUGUUGUUAUGGAGAGCCUGGUUUCUACGAGAUAACUAUAUCCACAGUGAUGGCAAAGAAACCAUUUCGAGAUCGGUGAUGUUCCUUGUGCAGUAUGAGGAGGAAUCAGGAAUCUGUCGAUAUCUGCUGUUGGACAGGGAAACAAGAGUUGCUGGGCCCUGUCUGCAUCUAGACACACCACGACUAGGAAUCAGCCGAACGCCGAGCCAAAUGCCCAGUGGAAAGAGCCGCCUGAAGGUGUUGUAAAACUAAACACUGACGCUGCCUUUUUGUCAGGCACAUGCGAAGCCUGGGCUGGCACGAUCGCACGGGAUCAUACGAGGCAUGUUGUCUUCUCGGCGAGUAAAUCGAUGAAUUGAAGAGGCAGAGGGGCAAGCUAUCCUGAUGGGUCUGGUAUUGCUGUCGAGACUGUACCAAGGCCCACUGAUCAUUGAGACUGACAACAAAAUGAUUGCAAAUGAGUGGGACAAGUCAGACCAAACCGAUCGGAAUGUUUCUGGGUUGUCAGUGAGAUAAAAAACACAAGCCGGAUCUUCAAUUCAGUUCAGGACAAGGCCAUCAAAAGGGAACAAAACUGUCUAGCACAUGAGCUCGCUGCCAGAGCUAGACGGCAUGAGGACUCACUAAUAAUUGCGGACGUGCCCGAGGAGCUUCGUUCGCUGAUGCUAUCUGAAUGUACCAAGUGAUGUAUUUGGUCCUUUUUAGGCUAUCUGGAAUGAUUGCAGGUUUUAACAAGAAGUCCUCAAUAGGUGGACUGGCUCAAAAUGGAUGGAGAAGCACGCCGGUAGCUUUUUGGUUGAUUGUAUUAAGCAUUUAAGUUCGUAGCAAUUCAUACCAUCAAUAUCUUUGGGGUGCCUUGUACUCCCUCCGUAAACUAAUAUAAGAGCAUAGUGAUCUAAACGCUCUUAUAUUAUAGUUUAUAGAGGGAAUAAUUUUUUAAAAAAUCGUGCCUUUUUCGGCCUGAUGUGGCGUGCUGCCCAUAUACGUCCUUACCCCAUUUCCUCCUCACAUAUGGCCUGGGUUUUCGGAUAGCAAGACAUAUGGACUUAUGGAGACAGUUUGGGGGUGCCGAUUCUCUCUCUCUCUCCCCCUCUUGCUAAUAGAAUUAUGAACAGCCGAUAAGAGUAAUAUUAUAGACCUUCUCUCCUCAAUCCUACCAUGUAUUAUUUGACUUUUGCGCUAACACAGGAAAAAUGUGUUGUAAACUUGUGAGUUGUGCCUUA